UACCGGCGAUUUAAAACCGCCGGUAAAAUAUCAUUACCGGCGGUUUUUAAACCGCCGGCAAAAUUAAAACUUUGCUGGCGGAUUUCUAAAACCGCUGGGAAUUCUUAUUUUUACCGGCGGUUCAACAAAACCGUCGGUAAAUUUUUUUCCCGGCGGUUAAAAACCGCCGGUAAUAU